rnacentral:rRNA from 1 species
CCUACGGGUGGCAGCAGUGGGGAAUAUUGCAUAAUGGCGGAAACCCUGAUGCAGCGAAGCCGCGUGAGUGAAGAAGUCUUACGGCAUGUAAAGCUCUAUCAGCAGGGAGGAAGAAAGACGGUACCUGACUAAGAAGCCCCGGCUAACUACGUGCCAGCAGCCGCGGUACUACGUAGGGGGCAAGCGUUAUCCGGAUUUACUGGGGGUAAAGGGAGCGUAGACGGCUGUGCAAGUCUGAAGGGAAAGCCCAGGGCUCAACCCUCGGACUGCUUGGGAAACUGUGGAGCUAGAGUGGUGGAGAGGUAAGUGGAAUUCCGAGGGUAGCGGUGAAAUGCGUAGAUAUUAGGAGGAACACCAGUGGCGAAGGCGGCUUACUGGACAGUAACUGACGUUGAGGGUCGAAAGCGUGGGGAGCAAACAGGAUUAGAUACCCCAGUAGUCC